AGUGAACGCUGGCGGUAGGCCUAACACAUGCAAGUCGAACGGCAGCACAGUAAGAGCUUGCUCUUACGGGUGUCGAGUGGCGGACGGGUGAGGAAUACAUCGGAAUCUACUUUUUCGUGGGGGAUAACGUAGGGAAACUUACGCUAAUACCGCAUACGACCUACGGGUGAAAGCAGGGGAUCUUCGGACCUUGCGCGAUUGAAUGAGCCGAUGUCGGAUUAGCUAGUUGGCGGGGUAAAGGCCCACCAAGGCGACGAUCCGUAGCUGGUCUGAGAGGGUGAUCAGCCACACUGGAACUGAGACACGGUCCAGACUCCUACGGGAGGCAGCAGUGGGGAAUAUUGGACAAUGGGCGCAAGCCUGAUCCAGCCAUACCGCGUGGGUGAAGAAGGCCUUCGGGUUGUAAAGCCCUUUUGUUGGGAAAGAAAAGCAGCAGGUUAAUACCCCGCUGUUCUGACGGUACCCAAAGAAUAAGCACCGGCUAACUUCGUG
rnacentral:rRNA from 1 species